GGCGAGCGCCGUUUUGUCCUACUAAUUUUGGCGGUCCUUGAACUCGCCGUAUAGUUUGUGUCCAUGUAUAACUUUCUCCGACUUUCUAGGACGUGUUUUAUGCCACUUUUUCUAUCUCAUUUUGUCCACCACACUUUUAACGUUGGGCAUGAGUGCACAAAGGCAAAAGGAACAGCGUGUUAUGGUGCACGCGCAGUCUGCUUCUCCCUCCUGAAAUUAGCGCACCUGGACCUGAUGAGAGGGAGCUGAAUAAAGGACCAGUGGACCCAAGGAUCCUGGCGGGAACUUAGUUUCUCGAUGGUGAACCUGUUUUCCUUCCAUUGCCCUGGAUCUCGACUGCCUCCCUCGAUCCUCGACCCCCGCCUGGACACGGACCUUGUUGCCUCUCUCUCUCCCCCACGGACCUCACUUGGAUCACUGACCCCUUUCGCCUAGCCCCCUUUGGAUUUGUCUGCUUCCUCAUCCAACAUUGCGGUAACACACAACAGUUAUAGUUUAACACCACACACACUCUUGGAUUUU